GUGUCAGCCGCCGCGGUAACACCGGCGGCCCGAGUGGUGGCCACUAUUAUUGGGUCUAAAGGGUCCGUAGCCGGUUUGGUCAGUCUUCCGGGAAAUCUGACGGCUUAGCCGUUAGGCUUUCGGGGGAUACUACCAGGCCUGGGACCGGGAGAGGUAAGAGGUACUACGGGGGUAGGAGUGAAAUCUUGUAAUCCCCGUGGGACCACCAGUGGCGAAGGCGUCUUACCAGAACGGGUCCGACGGUGAGGGACGAAAGCUGGGGGCACGAACCGGAUUAGAAACCCCUGUAGUCC
rnacentral:rRNA from 1 species